UACAUAUGGGGCAAGCGUUGUUCGGAAUUACUGGGCAUAAAGGGUGCGUAGGUGGUCUAUUAAGUCAGGGGUGAAAUCCCGCGGCCCAACCGUGGAACUGCCUUUGAUACUGGUGGACUUGAGUGCGUGAGGGGUAGGGGGAACGAGCAGUGUAGCGGUGAAAUGCGUAGAGAUCAUGAGGAAGACCAGUGGCGAAGGCGGGUCUCUGGACAGUUCCUGACACUGAGACACGAAGGCCAGGGGAGCAAACGGG
rnacentral:rRNA from 1 species